UACGGAGGGUGCAAGCGUUAUCCGGAUUCACUGGGUUUAAAGGGUGCGUAGGUGGGUUGGUAAGUCAGUGGUGAAAUCUCCGAGCUUAACUUGGAAACUGCCAUUGAUACUAUCAGUCUUGAAUAUUGUGGAGGUCAGCGGAAUAUGUCAUGUAGCGGUGAAAUGCUUAGAUAUGACAUAGAACACCAAUUGCGAAGGCAGCUCACUACACGAAUAUUGACACUGAGGCACGAAAGCGUGGGGAGCAAACAGGA
rnacentral:rRNA from 1 species